AUUGAACGCUGGCGGCAUGCUUUACACAUGCAAGUCGAACGGUAACAGGUUAAGCUGACGAGUGGCGAACGGGUGAGUAAUGCAUCGGAACGUGCCUGAUCGUGGGGGAUAACGCAGCGAAAGCUGCGCUAAUACCGCAUACGAUCUGAGGAUGAAAGCGGGGGACCGUAAGGCCUCGCGCGAACGGAGCGGCCGAUGUCAGAUUAGGUAGUUGGUGGGGUAAAGGCUCACCAAGCCGACGAUCUGUAGCUGGUCUGAGAGGACGACCAGCCACACUGGGACUGAGACACGGCCCAGACUCCUACGGGAGGCAGCUGUGGGGAAUUUUGGACAAUGGGCGCAAGCCUGAUCCAGCAAUGCCGCGUGCAGGAAGAAGGCCUUCGGGUUGUAAACUGCUUUUGUACGGAGCGAAAAGGCUCUCUCUACUACAGGGGGCUCAUGACGGUACCGUAAGAAUAAGCACCGGCUAACUACGUGCCAGCCGCCGCGGUAAAAC
rnacentral:rRNA from 1 species